CUUCCAUGGCUGUGAAAUUGAGGGAAAGCACAAGCUAGGUCGAUCGAGGAGAGAGAUUUACAGCUGAGAUUGAGAGAUGGAGCCGAUCCAAAAGCUCGCAGCUUUGGUGUUCGUCCUUCUGGUGCUGGGAAAUGAGGUGACGAUGUCAAAUUCACAGACCAUUUGUAACAUGAGUCAAGAGGGUCUGAUGGCUUGCAAGCCAUCAGUAACUGCUCCGAACCCUUCCCCACCCUCGACUAUGUGCUGCUCCGCUCUGUCAGGUGCUGACAUGCACUGUCUUUGCUCCUACAAGAACUCCAACAUGCUGCCUUCCCUUGGGAUAGACCCCCAGCUUGCCUUGCAGCUCCCUGCAAAGUGCAACCUUCCUCAACCAACCAACUGUUAAGGGAGGAGAUGCACAAAGUUAACUUGCCUACGAUGAACUCUGAAGGCAUAUAAAAACUUUUAUAUGAAAUACUUAUUGUCUCUUUUGUUUUUGUUUCAUUUUCUUGUUUUGUUUUCUUUUGUGUGCCUAACCGAUCUACAGUCUGACUUCCUGUUCUGGAAUAAGUAUCAAUGCAAUAGCUUGUUCAAUUUGUAUUUUUUUUCAAUCUAUUUUAUGAUAUUUCAUGUUUCUUUCCAAAAUA